rnacentral:lncRNA from 10 species
GUCUAGUUCAGUUAUCUCUCCAGGUCACAUCUUGGAUUUGAGGCCUGAAUCCUGAGGUUGGAGCUGAGUGAGUGUCUCUGGGGGUGCAGUAGUACAGGAGCUGGGGGUUGACCCAGGAGUGGGGAGUCUCCACCUGGUAUGGGCACAGAGCUGGUCCCCAACCUGCCAGGACUAUCCCAGUUCCCACCUGGAGGACACAGGGCUGGCAGGGAGACAUGUGUCUAUUUGCUUGUGUCCCUCCCAGUGUGGUGGGAUCGCGUUGUAGGUGGAGCUGCCCUUGGGGUUGUCAGCUGAGCCUGGGCUCCACCGUCCCAGCCCACUCCACAGGGAUGCAAGGAGACACCAGGUGGCAGGAAGGCAGUGUCUCCACAAGCCCAGAAUCUCUCUGUGAACACUAACCUAGGCACAGAGCCAAGUGAUAAGGGCCAUAUCUUCUCACCAUCAUAUCUCCUGCCCCCGGCACAAUGCCUGGCUAUCAAAGACACUCAGUAACUGCUAAAUGAAUGACUGAGAAACAUAAAGAUCAAUGGGGCACGGAUCUGGCCUCCAAGAGGUGACACUCCAACAGGACAGUCAGUCAUGUAGACACUAACUGUAACACAAGACAGAAAGAAUGCAGUAGGAACUCAGCUGAGGGAGAGAUUAAUUCCAGCUGUGGGACUAGGGAAGGCUUCCCGGAGGAGGCAACAUUUGAGCCGUCUAAUAAUAAUAGUGAUGAUGACGGUUUAUACCUAUUGAAUGCUAUGUGUCUGGCAUACUUCUCAGUGCUUUGCAUAUAUUAACACAUUCAUUCUUCAUAUUACCACCAGAUGUGGAUACUAUUAAUAUAUCCAUUUUACAGAUGAGAAAACUGAGGCCCAAAGCCAUGUAGCUAUAAUAAAUGAGCAGAGCCAUAAUUUGAGCCCGAUUCUGGCACAGAGGCAGGUAUAGGACAGUCCUAUACAACGGAAUGGCAAAAAGUACAGUUUGGCUGGAUGAGGAGGUUGCAAACUGGCACCCCGUGGACCACAUCCCGUCCUCAGACAUGUUCUGUCUGGCCCACCCGCAUUGGCCUGCACAGCGUCCUCAGAAAAGGUGCAGCCCAUCACCAAAGCCAGAAGGUAAACAGUGGAGUGGGGGUGGGAGGAUGGGCUUUGGAGUCUUAAAUUCCAGAAAUGCAACAACCAUUGAGAAGUUGAGUAGCACACCUCCUCCCAUCGCCCCACCCUCAUCCCCAUCCUUUUCUGCCCCAGUCCACUUCCCUUGUCCCCAGUUACCUGUCUAGUUCCUGAAGACAUUUAAGUUUGAGAACCUGGAGUCAAGCCCAGGGCACGGAAGGGAGCAGCAGCAGAUAACCACGGGAAGGUACCUUGAGAAGGGAGUCCCAGAGCCAGUUCCCUUGCCCGGAGAUGUUCCCAGCCCCAGGAGCUCCCAACCCCUUUGCAGGCUGGCUGGCCAGAGAGAGAAUUUCGGACAGGAUUUAGGCCUGGAAUUUCCCUCCAAAUGGGCGGUGUCGAUCAGGGUAAAAUGAAUACGUGGACAUUUACUACGGAGACAAAGUUGGAAAGAACCUGCUAGGCAGAGGGAACAGCACAGAGUUUCCAGGAGUACUGCCUAAGGAGAACAUGCGCGAGAAGGAAGCCCACACAGAGGAGAGCAGAGACCAAGCCCUGCAGACAUUGUCCGGGCUGUGCCAAAGACAGACUCACCCCUGGACUCUUCAGUGAUAUAAGCCAAUAAAUUACUUUUUUGUUGUUGUUUUUGUCUUAAGCAAGUAUGAGUUGGGUUCCUGUCCUUUGAAACAAAGAUCUAUCGAAGCCUCCCCCCAUUAUUCCUCAUUGUUAACAGCUGUGUUUCCUUCUUGCCUUUUUCUCCCAUGCUUACACAGACAUACUGGACACUUUCUAAAUAAAAAUUGACGCCACUGGCUACUCCUUUCUUCAAGAUAUACUCUUUCGCUUAUUUUUGUAAAGCCUAGCUCCCGGUUUUCGGCUCUCUUCCUGCCCCUCUGAAGUCCUGUCCAUCUUAUUUUCCUUCACUGGCUCCUCUCUGUUUGCGAGUAACAGAAACCACCUCUGGCACUUAUAAGAAAAAAUAAAAAACAAAAGAAUUAACUGGAAAAAUAUUAAGGAGCUAGGUCAGAGAAUCGACUGGGAGUCUGGAGUACCUAACUUGGAAACCAGACAGAAGUGACUUGGCUGAACUCCAAAGGCCCCUUCCAUCCUAGUGUCAGGAUGCUCAAGAUGCCCAGACCCAAGAGUCUGACCAGCUGAGUUUAGGUCAGAUGGCCGCCCCUCGGCUGCUCCAUGGAGGUGAAAGGGAGGGCCUGGUGCAAUGAGUCUCCAGGGAUCCUUCCAACUCUAGAGUAGGAAAGCAGAUCAUUUGUUUUUUCACCCCACAAGAUGGAGAAGAGACAAUGCCCCAAAAGGAAAACUCAAAAUGAGGGUGAACAUGUUCCCAGCAUUCUCAAGGUUGUGCCCUAGGCUUUUUCUCUUCUCUCCACUGCUCCCUGGGCCUUCUCAUUCCUCUCUUUGAUGGCUGCAGCUGCCACCAAUAUGCCUACAAUGCCCAGGAUAGACCUCUACCCCAGACCUGUCUCUUGAGUCCAGACCCAUAUAUCCAUGAGCCUCUCUACACAGAUGGCUCACAGCCCCUUCAACUCAAUGCGUUCAAACUUAACUCUUCCUGGUCAGCAAACCUGCUCCUUCUUUGAGGUCCCUUAGCUUAGCAAAUGCAACCACCAGACACUCCACUGAUCACAGCAGAACCUGGGAUCCUUGAGUCAUUCUUAAUGUCCCUCACCCUAGCAGUCUCAACUCUAGUACUCCCAUCUUCACCUGAAUAGUUCCUUGUGGCAUAAAUGUCUAGCCAUCUCCCUUUCUUCUUUAGUGAUAGGCCCAUGGCUGCCCAAAAUAAAGACAAAUUCCCUGGCAUCCUUUGCAGCUAGGAGAAUCAUGUGACUGAGCUCUGGCC